rnacentral:rRNA from 1 species
UCUGUUUGAUCCUGGCAGAGGUUACUGCUAUCGAGGUUCGACUAAGCCAUGCGAGUCGAAUGUAGCAAUACAUGGCGAACUGCUCAGUAACACGUGGACAACCUGCCCUUAGGUUGGGUAUAAACCCGGGAAACUGGGUAUAAUACCCGAUAGGUCUCGAUUGCUGGAAUGCAUCGAGAUUUAAAGCUCCGGCGCCUAAGGAUGGGUCUGCGGCCUAUCAGGUAGUAGUGGGUGUAGCGUACCUACUAGCCUACGACGGGUACGGGUUGUGAGAGCAAGAGCCCGGAGAUGGAUUCUGAGACACGAAUCCAGGCCCUACGGGGUGCAGCAGGCGCGAAAACUUUACAAUGCUGGCAACAGCGAUAAGGGAACCUCGAGUGCCAGGUUACAAAUCUGGCUGUCGAGAUGCCUAAAAAGCAUUUCAUAGCAAGGGCCGGGCAAGACCGGUGCCAGCCGCCGCGGUAACACCGGCGGCUCGAGUGGUAACCGUUAUUAUUGGG